GACGAACGCUGGCGGCGUGCCUAAUACAUGCAAGUCGAACGCAGUGGGGACGGGUGAGUAACCCGUGGGUAACCUCCCAUCAGAGGGGAUAACACUUGGAAACAGGUGCUAAACCGAUACUGAUGGAUGGACCCGCGGUGCAUUAGCUAGUUGGUGAGGUAACGGCUCACCAGGGCCACGAUGCGUAGCCGACCUGAGAGGCGGAUCGUCCAAACGGGGAAUGAGACACGGCCCAGACUCCUACGUGAGGCAGCAGUAGGGAAGCUUCGGCAAUGGACGAAAGUCUGACCGAGCAACGCCGCGUGGGUGAAGAAGGUUUUCGGAUCGUAAAACUCUGUUUUUAGAGAAGCGGUAUCUAACCAGAAAGCCACGGCUAACUACGUGCCAGCAGCCGCGGUAAUUC
rnacentral:rRNA from 1 species